UAUCUGGGGUGAAGGUCAUUUAACAGCUGAUUUAAACUGUACAUUUUGUUUGGUGGAUGAAAAAUUACACAGAUGAAUGUAUUUCGUCUUUUCCUCUUCUCUUUGACAUGUCUUUUCUACGUUGUACUUGGAAACGUCGGCUUUUACGACGAAGGAAAGCAUGGCUACUCAGAUAUGUAUUACAAAUCUAAGCACAUGCCGUACCCGAUGCCAUACCACCAUCAACCAAUUGGAAUUGGUUAUGGAUACGGACAUGGGGGUGGAUGGGGAUUUGGUAGUGUCCUGCUAUCUAUAUUUGGUUUCAUCUUCUUCUUGUCCUUUCUGAUGCUCCUGUUCAGCCUUUUCUCUGGAAGAGGAGGUUCAUUUUUAUCUGGCUCUUCUUAUCCACAUGGGAAAGGAGGGUGGUGAUAAACAGGGGCCAUUGAUAAUCAUAACCGGAACCAAUGGCAACAAUGGAAACAAUGGCAACAAUGGAAACAAUGGCAACAAUGGCAACAAUGGAAACAAUGGCAACAAUGGAAACAAUGGAAAUAAUGGCAACAAUGGUAGCAAUGGAGACAGUGGAAAUAAUGGCAACAGUGAAGAUAACGAUGGUAGUAACAACGGUCAUGUUAUCACUAUUAACAACAACAAUUCUGAUGAGUCUAAUGAGAACGACAAUUAAAACAGGCUCUUUAUUCAAAAAUGAAAUAUUUUCUGAUUCCUUCUUUUCUUUUACAUCAGUACAUAUGUACAAUGUUAAAACAAUGUUAGAUCCACAGACUUUUUGAAUAACACCACCGUACUCUGUAAUUGUACGAAUCAAUAAAGAGAAUCUAUUAACCUAA
rnacentral:lncRNA from 1 species